rnacentral:rRNA from 1 species
GAUGAAUGCUGGCGGCGUGCCUAACACAUGCAAGUCGAGCGGCAGCGAGGGGUGCUUGCACCCUGUCGGCGAGCGGCGAACGGCUGAGUAACGCGUAGGAAUUUGCCCCAAAGUGAGGAAUAACUGCCCGAAAGGGUAGCUAAUGCCGCAUAUGGUCUUCGGAUUAAAGGAUUUAUCCGCUUUGGGAGAAGCCUGCGUUGGAUUAGGUUGUUGGUAGGGUAAUGGCCUGCCAAGCCGACGAUCCAUAGCUGGUCUGAGAGGAUGAUCAGCCAGACUGGAACUGAGACACGGUCCAGACUCCUACGGGAGGCAGCAGUGAGGAAUCUUCCACAAUGGGCGAAAGCCUGAUGGAGCAACGCCGCGUGAAGGAUGAAGGCCUUCGGGUUGUAAACUUCUUUUAUGAGUGAAGAAUAUGACGGUAACUCAUGAAUAAGCACCGGCUAACUACGUG